GACUGACAACUUUCUCGUCUUUAUGGAAGGCGGACUUUAUUUCCAGCUCUCAGGUCAAAAGGCGGCGGAAAGAAAACAAAACCACUAAGAGAUAAAGGCUAAAAAUAAUGUCCUGUGGGGUGAAUCAACCCAGUUUGGGACCCUGAAGACAGCAACAAGGCAAGGAUGUGCGUAGGGCUAAAUCUGCGUCAUCCUUCACAGGUGGUCGUGACCAGAAUCAAAAUGCCUGGGCAAGAGAGGAAGAAGUUCUGCAAACAGUAUCCUGGACAGUAUAACCAGUUUCCCUAAAGAGGUAAUACCUUUUCACCAAGGCAUACACAUCUUCUUGCCCAGCCUCCCCUUGAAAACAGCUGGAUAAAGUCAUGAUGGGUAUAAACCAUGGCUCAACACCAAGCUGUGAGCUAAAAGAAGGAAGAGAAUCUAGAGCCCAAGAGUAGAACAGGGGUCACCAAAGCAAGGCCAAGACAGGAGCAGAUCCAGUAGCUGAUAGGAAUUGAAUCCAACGAGAGUGAAGCUGGAAACCUGACUUGGAACAGACAGGAGCAGACAUAUGGACAAGUGCAAGGUCUGAAGAGGCCAGCAGUAGACAGGAACAAAACAAAAAGCUGACCUGCAAGGGGUCCAGAACACAGACAUGAAGAAUGGGCAAGGAGUCAAAUUCAAGCAACCCCAAGGCCACAGCUCCAGAUGUGCUGAUGUUUCUG
rnacentral:lncRNA from 1 species